GAUGGCGGACGGAACGACUGUGGCUUCCUGACGAAGUUUCUCAUUUACGAUCUAAUAUUGUUAUAGACGAACAAAGACUCGUCGUUUCUAAAUCCCAUGAACCAAACGCUGAAUUUGGAGCGAUGGCGUGUUAGCUGAAGGGAAGAUUGAAGACGUGAUAGAAGAUGGACGACUACUGCUAUGCUAAGAUGGCGACGUCAUGUAAAAGAGAAAGUGAAAGAGAAUCAACUUCCAGCAAAUCACCAACGGAGAUAAAGAUAAAACCCGAAGAUGAGCGAGUUGAAGUUUCCAACGACGUGAUUUUGCAGACUGAAAAGAGCGUCGAUGAGAAAUUAGCCGACUAUGUUGAAGAACGUCAACAAAGGACCGCCAUGAUUGUUAGCUUGAAGAAGGCAGUGGAGUUCACAUCAGAGGAGAUGAAAGAAUGCAAAAGUCAAAUGAAGAAAGUGGAAGAGCAAAACAAGCGCUUGUGUAAAGAAAAGAAUGAUGUGAAAGAAGAGAUGUUGGGGAAGAGUAAGAGAUGUGAAGAGAAGACUGGACCACAUGUCUACAUCAACGUGCAGAGGAUUGGAGACGUCCAGCAGAUGAUUGGUCAUCCAGAAGAAGUUCCACCUCAGCUGCUGGUUGAUGGCUCCUCUUUGAGGCAAGAGCAUCCAUGGUCCCCCCACAUUAAAGAGGAAGAAAAGGAAAUCUUAAUAACACAAGAGACUAACCUCAACCAGCUGCCACUGACUGUUGUCUCUGUGAAGACUGAAGAUGAUGAAGAGAAACCACAACCAGACCACCUCUUAGCUCCACUAUCAAAUAGUGAGGUUGAAGACGACGUUGAAGAACCUUUGAGCAGCGAUACAGACUGUGAAGGUGAUAUGAGGACUCACACAGACAACAAACACUCUGGAUGCUCAAAAACGAAAAAGGGAGAUGUAACAUGUUUGAUUUUCUCAGCUUGUGGCUCCACUCAUGAGAGCAAUUUGACUGGACAGAUGAGAACACACACAGAGGAGAAAUCAUCUAAUUGUUCAGUUUGCGGUAAAAUAUUGUCAUGUAAGACUAGUUUGACAAGACACAUGAGAACACACACAGAGAAACCUUUUAAUUGCUCAGUUUGCAGUAAGAGAUUUUAUUUGAAGGCCAAAUUGACCGCACACAUGAGAACGCACACGGGAGAGAAACCAUUUAGUUGUUCGGUUUGUGACAGAAAAUUUACGUGUAAGAUCUAUUUGAAAGGACACAUGAGAACGCACACUGAAGAGAACCCAGUUAUUUGUCCAGUGUGUGGUAAAAGAUUUUCUUUGAACACCAAUAUGUCAGAACACAUGAGAACACACACAGAAGAGAAAACAUUUAGUUGCUCAUUUUGUGGUAAAAAAUUUCACCAUCAGACAAAUUUGCAAAAACACAUGAGAACGCACACCGGAGAGAAACCAUUUAGUUGUUCAGUGUGCGGCAAAAGAUUUUCCUGUCAGGGAAAUUUGUCACGACAUGCAAGAACACACACAGGAGAGAAACCUUUUAAAUGUUCAGUUUGCAGUAAGAGAUUUGCUGAUAAUGUCAACCUGAAAGAACACAUGCGGUCUCACACUGGUGAGAAACCACUUAGUUGUUCAGUUUGCGGCGAAACAUUUUCCCGCAGAUUAGCGCUGACUGGGCAUAUGAUAACACACACUGGAGAGAAACCAUUUCAUUGUUCAGUUUGUGGUAAAACGUACACCAGCAAGUUCAAUUUGGUCAAACACACGAGAGUACACACGGGAGAGAAACCUUUCAGUUGUUCAGUUUGCAGUUUAAGCUUUUCUGACAGGACACUUUUAAAACGACACAUAAUAAAGCAUUCAGUUGAUCAAAAUGUGGUCCAAGAUGCUCGAGAAUUACACUUACAUUAAGACCCAAGACCACGCACAGGAGAACAAACAUUCAACUGUUCAGUGUCUAGGGGUUUGGAUGUUUCAACAUUUCCCACAAUGCAUUGCCGUUGGCCAAAUUAGAAAGAUUCGUUUGCAUCACGUCCAUUGUUGCUGGUCAUUCCAGCUUUGAUAAUAAUAAUCAUCGGCCACAAUCGAGGUGGGAGAGAUAUUACCAGCAUGGGGUUUUCCACACCUUCCUUUCGGAUUACAGAAGUGUACAUCAAUGAUCAUGAGUGUUUGUGUUGUGACAAUGUUGUAUAGUAGUUGUGUACACAGACACACAAAACUAUGUACCGUAUUUUCCGCACCAUAAGCCGCCCUGGGUUAUAAGCCGCGCCUUCAAUGAACGGCAUAUUUCAAGACUUUGUCCACCUAUAAGCCGCCCCGUGUUAUAAGCCGCAUCUAACUGCGCUAAAGGAAUGUCAAAAAAACAGUCAGAUAGGUCAGUCAAACUUUAAUAAUAUAUUAAAAACCAGCGUGAUGUGGGCGCGCAUGGAGUCGUAUAUCAACAUGGACGGAGCUGCGUGAAAAAAGCCACCCGGCCUCUUCGCGUAAACUUACCUUAACCACUCGCUCAUCUUUUCUUCAUCCAUCCCUUCGAGUUAGCUUUUAUGAUGACGCCGGCUGGAAAGGUCUCUUUUGGCAAGGUCUUCCUUUUGAAUAUCACCAUGGGUGGAAGUUCUGGCCAUUAGCAUGGCAAGCUAGAACCACAGUGAAGGAUGACUUCUCAUUCCCUGUGGUGCGAAUAAUCACCGUACGUGCUCCCGUUGUAUCCAGUGCGGUUCACAGGAAUAUCAGUUGCUGUGAAAUAGUACCGGUAAUCCGUGUGCGGAUGGAGAGAUUGCGUCUUUCAUGAACCGGAUCCCUGACGCUUAGUAGGAGCCAUUUUGUGGUCUUUACAGAUGUAAACACACAAAGGAAAUGAAACGUACGGUGA